rnacentral:rRNA from 1 species
ACACGCAUGACACACUGCAUAUCAAUAAGCGGAGGAAAAGAAACUAACAAGGAUUCCCCUAGUAACGGCGAGUGAAGCGGGGAGAGCUCAAAUUUGAAAUCUUCAAGGUUUUACCUUGACGAAUUGUAGUUUAAAGAAGUGUUUUCUGUUGGAGUUUUGGUAAAAGUUCUUUGGAAUAGGACAUCAUAGAGGGUGAGAAUCCCGUAUUUGACUAUUCUUUCUAGCUUUGUGAUACACUUUCAAAGAGUCGGAUUGUUUGGGAAUGCAGUCCAAAAUGGGUGGUAAAUUUCAUCUAAAGCUAAAUAUUGGCGAGAGACCGAUAGCGAACAAGUACCGUGAGGGAAAGAUGAAAAGAACUUUGAAAAGAGAGUUAAACAGUACGUGAAAUUGUCAAAAGGGAAGCGUUUGACACCAGUGUUGUUUUUCCGAAAAUCAAUUACGAAUGUUUUAUUUUUGAGAAGUUAUGACUUCAUCGGCUUGCUUCUCUCUUUACGAAACUUUCUUAAUGCACUUUUCGGUUAACAAGUCAACAUCAAUUUCUUUUGUUGUAAAAGGGUAUGAGGAAGGUGGCUUUCUUUUCGGAGAAAGUGUUUAUAGCCUUGUACCUCUGCAAUCGGAGAGAUUGAGGUCUGCAGCGUAGAUCCUUCGGGGUUAGAUACAUUUGUGCUAAGUUAUAGCUUUUCAUAGACAACUUGUUGACUAUGUUAAGUCUUGUAGCUUACUCGCUUAUGCUAUUUUACCUACGCUUAGGAUGUUGAGCGCAUGUCUCUCUCU